UACGAAGGGGGCUAGCGUUGCUCGGAAUUACUGGGCGUAAAGCGCGCGCAGGCGGUCUUCCAAGUCAGUGGUGAAAGCCCGGAGCUCAACUCCGGAACUGCCAUUGAAACUGUUAGACUUGAGGACGAGAGAGGUGAGUGGAAUUCCCAGUGUAGAGGUGAAAUUCGUAGAUAUUGGGAAGAACACCGGUGGCGAAGGCGGCUCACUGGCUCGUAUCUGACGCUCAGGCGCGAUAGCGUGGGGAUCAAACAGG
rnacentral:rRNA from 1 species